rnacentral:rRNA from 1 species
UACGGGGGGGGCAAGCGUUGUUCGGAAUUACUGGGCGUAAAGGGCUCGUAGGCGGCCAACUAAGUCAUACGUGAAAUCCCUCGGCUUAACCGGGGAACUGCGUCUGAUACUGGAUGGCUUGAGUUCGGGAGAGGGAUGCGGAAUUCCAGGUGUAGCGGUGAAAUGCGUAGAUAUCUGGAGGAACACCGGUGGCGAAGGCGGCAUCCUGGACCGAUACUGACGCUGAGGAGCGAAAGCCAGGGGAGCAAACGGGG